UACGGAGGGGGCUAGCGUUAUUCGGAAUUAUUGGGCGUAAAGGGCGCGUAGGCGGCCCGGUAAGUCAAAGGUGAAAUCCCUCGGCUCAACUGAGGAACUGCCUUUGAAACUGUCGGGCUCGAGGCCGGGAGGGGGUAGCGGAAUUCCCAGUGUAGCGGUGAAAUGCGUAGAUAUUGGGAGGAACACCGGUGGCGAAGGCGGCUACCUGGACCGGUUCUGACGCUGAUGCGCGAAAGCGUGGGUAGCAAACAGGAUUAGAUACCCCCGUAGUCC
rnacentral:rRNA from 1 species